rnacentral:rRNA from 1 species
GACGAACGCUGGCGGCGUGCUUAACACAUGCAAGUCGAACGGAAAGGCCCUGCUUUUGUGGGGUGCUCGAGUGGCGAACGGGUGAGUAACACGUGAGUAACCUGCCCUUGACUUUGGGAUAACUUCAGGAAACUGGGGCUAAUACCGGAUAGGAGCUCCUGCUGCAUGGUGGGGGUUGGAAAGUUUCGGCGGUUGGGGAUGGACUCGCGGCUUAUCAGCUUGUUGGUGGGGUAGUGGCUUACCAAGGCUUUGACGGGUAGCCGGCCUGAGAGGGUGACCGGCCACAUUGGGACUGAGAUACGGCCCAGACUCCUACGGGGGGCAACAGGUGGGAAUAUUGCACAAUGGGCGGGAGCCUGAUGCAGCAACGCCGCGUGCGGGAUGACGGCCUUCGGGUUGUAAACCGCUUUCGCCUGUGACGAAGCGUGAGUGACGGUAAUGGGUAAAGAAGCACCGGCUAACUACGUG